rnacentral:lncRNA from 1 species
AUGCUAUGCUAAGGGGUGUAACUACUGGAUCAAACUCUAGCUAGUUCAAAAAUAUAUACCUAAUUAAAUUUAUUAUAUCUCAUCAGCAAACACUAGGAGACGAAUCCUAAACACAAGUUUACCACUAAUAGAACAUGAAAUGAGUAUGUAGGAAAAAGAAAAAAAAGGGAGAGAGAGUACUUAAAGCCUGGAAAACUCAGCCUAGCAAGAGUCGCUGUCUCCUGCAUGACAUGCAAGCGAAUUCUUUGGAAAUAGAAGUUACUUCAAUCUAGCGACUUGGAUACCUUGGAAUGAAGUGGAAAAUUAAGUCACAGCA